rnacentral:tRNA from 1 species
GCGCCUGUGGCUCAGUGGGUAGGGCGCCGGCCCCAUAUACCGAGGGUGGCGGUUCGAACUCCGCCCCGGGCCA